AAAGAAAGGUCCCUUCAACUACUUCAGAUCAGCUGGCCUGCUGGAGAUGACAUGACUGCCAUUGCUUAUCAAGCUAGAAGGGAUUUUGCAAGGCCUUUCUUCUCUGAAGUUGUUUUUCUAGCUUGCUAGAAUAUCUGGAAUGUUAGAAAUGACAGGGUUUUCAGGAAUAUCAAACCAUCUUUUCGUAGGUGGAGAGCUUCAUUUAUUUUGGACGUUUCUCUUUUAGUUCAUAGGAUUAAACCUAAAUUCAAAGAUGAUCUAAUUAGAUGGAUCUCUUUUUUGCCUCCUUGA
rnacentral:rRNA from 1 species